AUACGGAGGAGGCUAGCGUUGUUCGGAAUUACUGGGCGUAAAGCGCACGUAGGCGGCGUGUACAGUUAGGGGUGAAAGGCCUGGGCUCAACCUAGGAACUGCCUCUAAUACUGACAUGCUAGAAUUCGGGAGAGGGUAGCGGAAUUCCAAGUGUAGAGGUGAAAUUCGUAGAUAUUUGGAAGAACACCAGUGGCGAAGGCGGCUACCUGGACCGAUAUUGACGCUGAGGUGCGAAAGCGUGGGGAGCGAACAGGAUUAGAUACCCUAGUAGUCC
rnacentral:rRNA from 1 species